rnacentral:rRNA from 1 species
GAUGAACGCUGGCGGCGUGCCUAAUACAUGCAAGUCGAGCGAACAGACGAGGAGCUUGCUCCUUUGACGUUAGCGGCGGACGGGUGAGUAACACGUGGGUAACCUACCUAUAAGACUGGGAUAACUUCGGGAAGCCGGAGCUAAUACCGGAUAAUAUUUCGAACCGCAUGGUUCGAUAGUGAAAGAUGGCUUUGCUCUCACUUAUAGAUGGACCUGCGCCGUAUUAGCUAGUUGGUAAGGUAACGGCUUACCAAGGCAACGAUACGUAGCCGACCUGAGAGGGUGAACGGCCACACUGGAACUGAGACACGGUCCAGACUCCUACGGGAGGCAGCAGUAGGGAAUCUUCCGCAAUGGGCGAAAGCCUGACGGAGCAACGCCGCGUGAGUGAUGAAGGUCUUCGGAUCGUAAAACUCUGUUAUUAGGGAAGAACAAACGUGUAAGUAACUGUGCACGUCUUGACGGUACCUAAUCAGAAAGCCACGGCUAACUACGUG